rnacentral:lncRNA from 1 species
CAGGUUAGUCUAUAAAAGUUUGUUUUUCCGGUGCAUAAAUACUCUUACAUGUUUAUCUAUCUGUACUAGUUGUAAGUAGUAACCGAGUUCUGUCUUCUAUACACGCUAUAAGAAAAUAUGCAAAUAGCGACAAGCAAGUUGAGGCACUUAGUAGUGAACCGCCACCGCUUUCUCAUCAUACCGGCAGGUGAACAGUAACCACCUGCGCUUUCUCAUUAUACCAGUGGAGUUUGGCCUUUAGUUAAGAUGAAAUUUUAUUUUUAGGCCAACUAAUACAGCAUUUUUUCCACCCUUGAAUCAGAUGAAAGAAAUCUUAACGUUAAUACAGUAUCUGUUACAUGUUUUGAUCAACUCGCUCUCGGUCUAUCAAAGAUGUAACCAAUUCAACAUAAUACUUGUUUAUUUAUACACACACUAAUGUACUAAUACAUCAGACACUAAUGUUGUCUAUAUAUCAUCGAUCCUUGAACAAAAACUUGUAUUAUAAUUAAAAGAUUAAAUGAUCCUAAGACUAAUCCGACAGUCAAUUUAAAAUUAACCAUUGCAUCAUUUCGAAUAUGAGGAGUGCUAGCAACACACUCCAAUAACAAACACACUCUAACACACUCUCUUUUAUUGGUUAAAAUUUACAUGGGUCCCAUAAAAGUUAUAUGGGUCCACAUUUUUUUAUGGGACCCAUGUGAAUUUCAACCAAUAAAAGAGAGUGUGUUAGAGUGUGUUUAUUAAAGAGUGUGUUGCUAGCAUUAUUCUUUCGAAUAUAUAUAUACUAGAAAUUGUACAACAGUCAAUCAACAUUAGUACUCCGUUCGCGUAAGGCUAUGCAUUGUAAUUUGCUUCGGCUUUGUGGUUUUUGCAUGACAUUACCGAACGUUUGCUUGUGUAUCCGUUGAUGGCUAAUGGAAGUGU